GGACGAACGCUGGCGGCGUGCUUAACACAUGCAAGUCGAACGGUAAGGCCCUUCGGGGUACACGAGUGGCGAACGGGUGAGUAACACGUGGGUGAUCUGCCCUGCACUUCGGGGUAAGCCUGGGAAACUGGGUCUAAUACCGGAUAGGACCAUGGACUUCACGGUUUGUGGUGGAAAGCUUUGCGGUGUGGGAUGGGCCCGCGGCCUAUCAGCUUGUUGUGGGGUAAUGGCCUACCAAGGGCGACGACGGGUAGCCGGCCUGAGAGGGUGUCCGGCCACACUGGGACUGAGAUACGGCCCAGACUCCUACGGGAGGCAGCAGUGGGAAUAUUGCACAAUGGGCGCAAGCCUGAUGCAGCGACGCCGCGUGAGGGAUGACGGCCUUCGGGUUGUAAACCUCUUUCAAUAGGGACGAAGCGCAAGUGACGGUACCUAUAGAAGAAGCACCGGCCAACUACGUG
rnacentral:rRNA from 1 species